GGCCGGUUAGCUCAGUUGGUUAGAAUGUGGUGCUUAUAAUGCUGAGGUCGCGGGUUCGAUCCCUGCAUGGGCCA